GGAUUAGCGCAGUUGGUAGCGCAACGGACUCCAAAUCCGUGGGCCGGGGGUUCGAGUCCCUCAUCC
rnacentral:tRNA from 1 species